UUUUAUAGCGCUCAACCUCUCACGUGUAUGACAGUCUCAUCAAAUUCUGUCAUAUUUACAACGAUGCGUGAUCAAAACAGACAUAAUAGUUUAACGAUUUGAUCAAUAACACAAAUGUCAACGGAAAAAGAAAAUUUCUAAAGAAAUUCUACCUUGAUUGUAGAUGACGCGAAAGAGGCAUUUAUAGGAUUACUAGAUGUACAUCUAACUAACGAAGGAAUUUCCUUUCUCGAAUUUUUAGGAAAACAUCACCAUGAAAUAUAUCAUCUUUGUUAUAAUAAUGCGCCUUGCUGCAUUUGUCCCCAACACGCUCGUGGACCAACAAAUGGUCCCCCAAGCCGAACUUUGUAUCCAUCACAGUUAGACUUAUUGUUUGAUAUUACAAGUGCAAAGAAACCAGUACAUAAAUCAUACAGCAAGUCUAAACAUUGUUGCCUACCUGUUAAUAAAAAUAUCAAAAAAGAAGACUUGGACUUUACUCUUACACGAUGCCUUCUGGUUAAUUUUACUACUGUUAUACCAUUCGGUUCUAAUGAAAGGCAAGCUGUUGACGAGUUAGUCAAGCUGAGAAACGUUACUUUUGCACAUGCAAGUCGGGGAGUAAUUCCUAAUGAAAAAUACGACAAGGUUCGGGAACAAAUCGAGAACUGUUUACUGACAUUAGGACGGAAAUGUGGGAAAGAAGAUAAAGUGAGACAAUCAUUGAAGGAAGCCAGAGUUAGAACUUUAGAUGAAACUAUGUGCCAACAAUACCAUAGUUCUCUGUUAAUGUCAUUGCAAAGAGAUGAGGAUUUAAAAAAGGUUCUACCAGAAAUAUUAAAAAAGUCUGUUGUCGGAGCAUUA